GAAAAGAGAGUAUGUCAGUACUAAUGGGCCAUGAAGUGUGGGGGUGUGAAAAGAAAACGCGAAGGCCCAAGGUCCAUAAAUAACUUAAGUCAAGUGUGACAUGAUUAAAUAACAUUUUAAUUUAAAAAAUCAUGUGGACAUAACAUCAAUUGGGCAACUUCACUUAAGUGACUAGAAGACAAAACAAAUAUGUACGCCCA
rnacentral:lncRNA from 1 species